CCCCCGAUUCCGCCGCUCACGGCCGUCAGGCUGGUCGCCGUGCUAGUCUACUUCAGCCGUCGACUGAUUGUGGUGGUGGUGGGCGUCGCCUCUGCUACCGUCGCUGCUGCUGGUGGGCGACACCGACACCCCCCCAAUCGCCGCCACCCGAUCCCCGAGGCCUCCGCCUCCGACUCUGGUAGUCCGCCUCUCACCUUCAACUGAUACAGAGGGAAAUUAAUCCGUAGCUCCCUUGUUGUGAUCGUUUUGAUCAUCAGCAGAGCUCCAGUAGCAGCUCCCUUGUCUUGGUGGAGCUCUGCCCGUGCACGUGACAGUGUUACUCCUCCUCUGGAAGAAGAAAAGAGUAUAAUUCAGUUAAAAAUUUAGGUUCAGUUAAUCUGUACUCCAAACUAUUAAAAUUUACUCUCAAUUUUCAACAAUGCAGCAUUGAGCCUGAACCUUUUUGACAGUAUAAGCAAUGCAGUUUUGACAGUAAAAAUGGGGUACAAUACAACAUGACUAAACUUAAUGACAUCUUUUAACUAAAAAUCACUGAACUAUUACUGAACUAAAUCAUGAACGUGAAUAUAUGUAUUUCAUUCAAUUCUGUAUGUGCAUGAUUUAGUCAAGUUUAACACAACACAAGUUUGCCUUGACAAUCUUCAAUUUUAAGACCACACAAGUUUGCUAAAAACUCAGUGUAAAGUGUUAACACAAGACUGACAUAUGGAAGAAUCAAGCUUUGUUACGACAUGCCAAAUGAAGCAUGAUAAAAAAAAUGAAGAUUUCUGAAUAAACAUUUGUAAUGACAAGAUUUACUAGUUCGGUCUUUAGCAAAGACUGAACAUAAAUAAAUUCCCUUCUAAAGAUCGAUGUUUCGGAAACCAUUGUAUUAGUCACCUGUAUCUCGCAGCUGCUCGAGCACUCGAACCUCAGGCCCUGUCGGGUCAGUAUUAAGAAGGCGUGUCUCAUUUUUACAUCCUCUGGCACAAAGUUGGGAGUUGCCGGGUCAGUAUGAAGAAGAUCUGAGAAUGCAUUGCAGAGUAUACCGUCAGACACAAAUUCAAGUUCAGUAUGACAAAGAAUGUGAUGCCAAGAGAAAUGUGAUUUAGGUUCUGUAUGACAAAGAAUACAUUAAAAAAAGAAAUCCGAUUCAGGUUCUGUAUGACAAAGAACACAUCAACAAAAGAAAUGUGAUUCAGGUUCAGUAUGAAAAAGAACAAAACACUAGAAGAAAUGUGAUUCAGCUUCAGUAUGACAAAUAGCUCGACGCCAAGAGAAAUGUGAUUGGAGCUCGUGGCGCUACCCAUGCUCAUAAAGCUCUGCAUUUACCGGAACCAGCUGGACGACACCAUCCCAAAGGAGCUCGGGAGCCUGCAUACUACCGUGGAGAUCGACCUGUCAGAGAACAAGCUGACAGGAGUCAUCCCCAGCGGGCUCAACAACAUACAGACUCUCUCGCUGCUCCACCUCUUCGAGAACCACCUGCAAGGUAGCAUCCCGCGGGAGCUGGGCCAGCUGGGUGUCAUAAGUAGAAUAGCUAGGCCUGUCCAUCAACAACCUGACCGACACAAUUCCGACGGAGUUUCAGAACCUGCCCUGCUCGGAGUACCUGCAAUUUGUAGUUGUUCGAUAACCAAAUCCAUGGUGACAUCCCUCCUUUGCUGGGGGCGAGAAAGCUCACCGAGGACACCUUGGCGGCGAACGCAAUCCCCGCAUCCUCCUCUGCGGACGGGCGCACGGCCGAGGCGGCGACCGGUGCGUAGGCCCGCGAUGCGGCGGCCCACGCGCAUGAGAGGUCGUGCAGGCGCAGUGCGAGCCUCUGUUGCCUACCCCGCGUAUCCUCCGGCGGCGGGGUCGACGAGGAGGCCGUGUGCGCGAACAGGAGACACAAACCGGAGGAAGAAGAAACGAUUUUUGGGUUGAACAAGGGGAGAUUCAACUGAUAGGCAAGGGGGGAAGGGGAGCUGCGCGAGCCAGAAGGGAGCGGCGGAGAAGGCAACUACGACGGCGGGGAAGGACGCACAUGAGAUCAGGGGAGGAGCGCGGCGAAGCUGAACUGGGAGCUCCGGCAUCGAUGUGCACGUGUCGUAGAGGCCGCUUCUCGAUUGGAGAAGAUGAGACGUGCGGGUUGUGUCAGGAGUUUGGGGAGGGGUUUUGUGAAAAAACGUCAUUGCGACAAUAAUUUCAGGAAGGAGGAAG
rnacentral:lncRNA from 1 species